rnacentral:rRNA from 1 species
CCUACGGGAGGCUGCAGUGAGGAAUAUUGGUCAAUGGACGCAAGUCUGAACCAGCCAUGCCGCGUGCAGGAAGACGGCUCUAUGAGUUGUAAACUGCUUUUGUACGAGGGUAAACGCAGAUACGCGUAUCUGUCUGAAAGGAACGUACGAAAAAGGAUUGGCUAACCCCGUGCCAGCAGCCGCGGUAAAACGGAGGAAUGAAGCGUUUUCCGGAUUUAUUGGGUUUAAAGGGUGCGUAGGCGGUCGGAUAAGUUAGAGGGUAAAACCGGGGGCUCAACCUCGGAAUUGCCGCUGAUACUGGUCGGCUAGAGAGUAGUAGCGGUAGGCGGAAUGUAUGGUGUAGCGGUGAAAUGCUUAGAGAUCAUACAGAACACCGAUUGCGAAGGCAGCUUACCAGGCUACUUCUGACGUUGAGGCACGAAAGCGUGGGGAGCAAACAGGAUUAGAUACCCUUGUAGUC